GGGGGGGGGGGGGGUCAGUUGACAUUGUGAAGUAGGCAAAACUAUGCCUUGGGUGACAUUGUGAAGUUGGCAAAGGGUGCCCUAGGUGACAUUGUGAAGUAGGCAAAAUGCAUUUUAUUUCUUCCAUAAGCAUUUGUUGAGCCCAUCUUAGGUGCCAGGUGCCCGGGAUAUACAGACAAUCAAGAGCAUGUCCUACCAGACAAGAAGGGACAAAGCCCUAUAAAUAAACGGGUGCUCGGAAUUUGCCAUUAGUACUGUAACAGAGCUAUGGUUAAGGAAAUUUCAUUUUAUAUAAAAAAGUGAAAAUAUUUGACGGUGUCCUGACUGAACAAAUCUUCUAAAUAGACUUAUUACAGGUUCUGCAUUGCUAUCCAUGUUUACAUUUACCAGCAAGUUUUAUGGUUCAUAUGCUUUUGUGUUGCUGCUUAGAAUCCUUUUGUUUCAAGUUGAAGAACUUCCUUCAGCAUAUCUCAUCUUCUGGAGCAGCAGCACACCCAUGACCUUGUCCUCAGUGAUCCCCAGAUGUCUAGAGUAUGCCAGGUCCCAUCCGUGCUCAGAGAUAGGGAUAAUCUUGGAGCUGGGGAUCUUCCUGAUUGGGCUGUGUUGAAUCAUGGGUAGGAGCUCUCAUGAGAACAAGUUGGGAUGAGGGUUUCCUCCCAGCUGGGCAGUGCUGUGCCAGAGGGGAAGGAUCAUGGUGCCUUGAGUUUCCCACUGGCUUUGAUGUGGAUGGUUUUGCACUCGCUCAUGGUGCAGGAGCCUCUCAUCUGGUUCCUGGAUUUCUCACAAAGGGAAUAGGACUGAACUGGCAUCACUGGGUUACAGAAGCUUUAAGAGGACAACCUUGCAUCACAGUGGACCUACUUAGGCAUCCUUAAUGGCAUCACAAUUACCAGUUUAACCCAGCUGACUACCUGCAUGAAUCCAGCUGUCUGUCUGUUUGUGCUUCCGUUCCACUAUCUGAGACUCUGAUGGAGGAAACCAAUCAGUGCCUGACCCAGCCCUUCUGGAGUCACAGACACAUCGAACUCAAAUGCUGGCCCUGCUUUGGAGAUGCCCAGAGCUUUCAUCUGCUUCACUAGUACUUUUGUCUUCUCAAAGAUCCUGCCUCAGGUUUAUUUGUGCAACUAGCACAGAAAGAUACCAGCCCCUGCAGAUAGAAGCCCAGGGUAACACCAGUCUUCUGUCCUCACACUGGCAGACAGAAGCCUCCAUAUUAGAGCCUUUAUCAGGGACCCAGCACCUCCAGCCACAUCUGGGGCCAGAGCCACAACCUGGGCCUUGGUUUGAAUCUUGGCCUUGGCCUUUGGUUGGCAGAGCCUGAGACACUUGGCAUUACAGGCAUGAGCACAUUUCCAGAGCAUGGGGUGAGUGAUGUAAGCAAGUUGAUUGAGCUUGCGGCUGCCAACCUUUGGGAUCACAGACUUGUCAAGGGCAUUGAUAGCCUCAGCACAUACAGCCAUGGCCUUGGCAUUACUGGCCUCCAUCUCCUUUAGCCCUUCUUGUUGUGCUUUCUGGCAAAGCACAUGUUCCUCAGGAACUUGGGGUCCACCCCCUUAAGAGAUUCAUAUCUUUGGGGCACCUAGGUGGCUCAGUUGGUUAAAUGUUUGAGUUUGGCUCAGGUCAUGAUCUCGUGGUCUGUGAGUUCGAGCCCCACGUUGGGCUCUGUGCUGAUAGCUCAGAGCCUGGAGCCUGUUUCAGAUUCUGUGUCUCCCUCUCUUCCCCUCCCCGGCUCAACUCUCUCUCAAAAAUAAAUAAACAUUAAAAAAAAGAGACAGGGAUAUUCAUAUCUUUAUGACUGGGGUUUCUUCACUUCUGCGCAAUUUUUGUGACUGGUUGUGUGUGGUGUGGUUCUUGCAUUGGGCAAUUUCUAUACUGAAGCCUGGAACUCCCGAAGCACCUGGGACCGGAAGAGAAAGAGGAAGUUCUAAGAACUUCUUGUACUUCCUGUAGAGAUUUCCAGGGUCCCUGGUGCCCAAAGAGGCCUCCUCAUUGGGCUGAGCUUCCCUGCAGGCUAGAAUAACCCAAUCAACAAGGGAGUGAGUACCUUGAACCCCUGAGUACCAUGCAUGUGCUGCCAGAGAGCAGUGAAUGUGGUUGAUGUUGCUCAUUUUCUCUGCCUCCUGCCCAGUCAGAGAAAUCCCAUGGCCCCUGCAUCUCAUAACUGCGCUAGCCACACCUGGAUACUUUCCCGGGGUUUUUUCAGGAACUUGGCAGCUAUCCCAAUAAGCUUAUCCCAAUAAGCUUAUCUUCUCUCUUCAUGAAUGUUUCCUGAACUGGGGGCUCCUUGGGGGCUGGGGUUGCUGUUGCUGGGCUUUUGCUUUCCUUUGUGUUUGGGGUUCGAAGGCAGGGGACAGUACAUCCGCUUCACUGUUAGUCACCACAUCCUGCUCUUCACUCUGCUCACCUCCCGAGGGAUUCUCUUUGCCCCCAGUGAGCUACAUGCAGUUUCUCAAACAAGUGCAUUAAGACAACCAGCGUUUUUGAGGUGUCCCCAUACUCACGUGUGGUCCACAAGCCUCUAAUCCAUGGGACCCCAUGCCCCGCACGCAGAAAUUGAUGGCCAACUCAG